rnacentral:rRNA from 1 species
ACAAGUACCGUGAGGGAAAGUUGAAAAGUACUUUGAAAAGAGAGUGCAAGAGAACGUGAAAUCGAUAUAAUGGAAGCGAAUGAAGUCGACGUAUCUAGUGCGUAUUCAGUUGUUAAUGUUGUUUAACAUGUAUUGUUGUUGUGUAUUCCGCAAGGUUACCGCAAUGAUUACUUGUUCGCAUUUAGCAAUGCAUUUGCGUACAGAGUGCGACGAAACGUACGGUAUUGUUGGUUGAAGUUGGUGUAGAGGGCAAGCAAUUUCGGUUGUUUGUAACCUGCGCGCUUUCAAUCGAUAGCCCGAUUAAUACUGUAUGGUUUGUUUUAUGGCAUUGGCCCAACGUUGCCGGUUAUUUGGCUUUGUGUUUACAUUGAUGAGUGCGUGCAUUCGUCGUGUCAGGCGCAUGGUCGAAUUGAUUUGGUAACACUUUGCCUUUUUCGUCGUAUAGUCGAUCACUCAUUCGACCCGUCUUGAAACACGGACCAAGGAGUUUAUCGUACACGCGAGUCAUUGAGUGUUUUCAAAGCUCAAAGGCGUAAUGAAAGUGAAACUGAAAACAGUUGAAACGUGAUCGGUUGGUUUAUUUUAAACAUAGCCGAGCAACGUUGCCCCAUUCCUGGGACUGCGUGUUCUGGUGUGGAGGUUGAGCGUGUGCAAUGAGACCCGAAAGAUGGUGAACUAUGCCUGAACAGGACGAAGUCAGAGGAAACUCUGAUGGAAGUCCGAAACGGUUCUGACGUGCAAAUCGAUCGUCUGAUUUUGGUAUAGGGGCGAAAGACUAAUCGAACCAUCUAGUAGCUGGUUCCUUCCGA